UUACAAAACUAUAAAGAUGUAGGCCUCAAAUGAACAGUGCAAUAAUAUUACAUUUCUAAUUAUUUUAACACAAAACGCACACAAAACGACGUCGUUUAAUCGGAAAAAAAUCCAAAUUAAGCGUAGACGCCUUUUCUUUUCCAAUUUCUUUUGCUGCUCAAAUUUAUGGUCCGCCCAUAUCCGUGGGCCCUUCUCUUAAUAUUUCCAGUAUUUUCCAUUUUUCUUUAACAAACUCACGCGAGUUGUGUUCAUUUACACGCGCUUGCUUUCGGCGGUUGUCAGUCUGCUUCUGCGUUCUCUCGCUUGUCAAUCCCACCUUGACGUUUGUAGCUUCCGGUGUAGCCUGUGGGACGUGGGUUUACACAAUCUUUAUCGUCUCAUUUCUCUUUCCAAUUUUACAUUCUCCGGAGGCCAUUUCAGUACCCAACUAAAGGAAAACCCUAAAAAUUGCACUCUCAAAGCAAACCGCCCGCAAAUCAUCAGUCAUUCGAUGUAUUUUUUGCACAUCCGAUGGAGGUUUUCAAUCCCCAUCUCUGUUUCGUGAGUACAACAACAACAAAAUAGGGGUUUUCUAACCUUUUUACGCCGAUGCCGAAAACUGCCGAGGUUGGAGUCGACCGGAGCUCGUGAAUGGGAAUUAGGAUUCUCAGCCAUUAGGUUCUUCGUUUCCUCCAAAUUAAAGCUGAGAAUAGGAAUCCUAAAUUUUUUAGAAGACCCAUUCUGCAGGGAAUAAGUGCAGAAUAGGAAGCUUUAAUUUGACCAGCCAUUUUACAUUCUUUCUCCAUAAAGAUGUUGUUCUUCUCGCUUCUCAGGGGAUGAUGGCACCAUUAAUGGGCAUGGUGAAUCCUGGUUGAAGAAAUUCCAAAAGGGAGAUUCACAGUUAACUAGACUUUAUUUAAUUGAAAUAAUGUACUCUGUAAAUGUCCAAAUAUCAAAUUUUUUUUUUUUUUGAGAUGAAACCAAAUAUCAAAUUUAACACUUGUUAAUUCACCAUCAUGGAAUGUUCAUCCUGUACUAUGUGUCUUUGUAAUUACUAUGCUUAUAGGUUUGGAUUGUUUAUUGAUAAUUAUGUUUUUGUUUAUAAGAGUUGGUUCCAUGGAGCACUU